rnacentral:rRNA from 1 species
GUGCCAGCAGCCGCGGUAAUACGUAGGGGGCGAGCGUUGUUCGGAUUUACUGGGCGUAAAGAGCGCGUAGGCGGUUCGCUCAGUCGGAGGUGAAAGCCCUCGGCUCAACCGAGGCCCCGCGUCCGAUACUGGCGAACUUGAGGGCAGGAGAGGAGAGCGGAAUUCCCAGUGUAGCGGUGAAAUGCGUAGAUACUGGGAGGAACACCGGUGGCGAAGGCGGCUCUCUGGACUGCUCCUGACGCUGAGGCGCGAAAGCUAGGGGAGCAAACGGGAUUAGAAACCCCGGUAGUCC